rnacentral:lncRNA from 1 species
GGUGGACUUGAAAGACCUAGGGUAGGUAAGUUAGGAUUUGGUGCUUGAAAAGUUUUGAGGGUCAAAGGAAAAGACGUCUAGAAUGACUCCAAGUAUGGCAUUUUGUAGAACCAAGUCUGAAAUAAAUGUAGGCUGGUUAAGUCUUAUGCAUUUAUGGGAAAAUGAAGCCAAGAGACUCUAUAGUCUCAACAUCUGGAGAGGGAGGGAGGUUUGAUAUUUGUCAGAGGUCUCUGAGGCUAGACCCACAACAUAGGAUUAAACUACCAAUAGAUAAGAAGUAAAAUGAAGAGGGAAGACAGUCAAGGGCCGAACUUUGAGGAAAAUGAAUGAGUAAGAUAAUAUAGACAGAUAAAAGGAGAAAUAUGAAGAACCAGAAAAGCUAGAUAUUAUGGAAAGUAAAGGAAAAGAAUGUUGAGGGUAAAUCAAGCUGACAAGAAAGGCGCUAUGAACACAAUGCCCUGUACUAGUGUUAUUUUAAGUCUUGGAUGCUGCUAUAACAAAAUAACUGAAAUUGGAUAACUUAUAAACUACACUAAGUAAUUAACUCAUUUGUUUAUAUAUUUUGAGACAGGGUCUCACUAAAUAGCUCUUGAUGGCCUGGAACUUACUAUAUAGACAGGGAUGGCCUUAAACUCAUAGAGAUCCAUCUGAUUUUGCCUCCCAAGUGCUGGAAUUUAAGGAAUAAGGAACUAUGCCUGACCAUAAACAACAUAAAUUAAUUAUCACAGUUUUAGAGGAUGAGAAGUUCAAGAGGAAGGUAGCAGGGGUUUUGGAGUCUGAUUAGGAAUGCUCUCUAAUUUUAUGACUUGCUGUAUCUGACAGAGUGUUAAACUUCAUAUCUUCCCAUGGCAGAGAGGUAGAAGGGUAAGAAGAACUACAGUAGUUCUUUCACCAUUUUGAAAGACACUUGUCUGGUCAGAAGGACAGAACUCACAUAACUUUCACACUUUCCCAAAGGCCCUACUUGAAUACCAGCACAAUGGGGAUUUUUUUUUUAUUCGGCAUUAAUGCUGAGGGACUUUCAGACCACAGCAAGCAGUCUUUACUUUCACCUAGCCUCAAGCCUUCUAGUAUUUGUUGCCUUCUAAAUCCACUGGCAGGGCUGAGGUUAGAAGAAACUAGAGUCAGAUGAAAUGCUGUCUUGUUCCUAGAACUCCCGAGAAGGAAAGUGUAGGACACAAUGGCAGGUAGAGAGGUGGAAAUACCUCAUGGGAUUGCAAAGGCACAGUCCUAUUAAAGGCUUUUGGAUAAGAGUGACUGGAAAGGGAAGAUAUGAAGAGAACCCACGAAGCAAGGCUGCUGAGGAAGCAAGGAGAGACCUUGUGUGGCCAUCCUUCCACGGUCAUUUCUUGGAGUGGGAGGGAGCUCCGUUUGAGGAAGAGGAGGAAAUGAUUGAAGACACUAAUUGGUGGCCUACACUGACCCAAUGACAGGAAGAAAAAAAGCCAAUCUGAGAAAGUUUCCUGGGGCUCGUCUGAGGCCACAGGGUACAGUCUCAGCAGUUUCAGUUCACGUGUUCUGAUAUUUUCUCCAUCAAGGUACAGCCCCAGACAGAAGAAAAGGGUCCCAGCUUUCCUGGCAGUUUAUUGUCUUGGUCACAUGCUGGCAUAGAGUCCCAAAUAACAAAAUCUUCCUUUGUUUACCAGAGAUCAAAGCCUAGAAUUAUCCUUUAUUCAGCCCUUGCUGCAGACUAGGUGAGGGAAUUGAUGUUCAUUAUGUCUUCAUAUCGUCAUCUGCAGCCUCCCUCUCUUCAUAAAAUUAGGUUUCCAGAGCAUCACACAUCUGUCUUUGCUUAGUCUUCCUGAAGAAUGGCCUUUUCUAAACUGUGUGUGAAUCUUUACUUACUGUGCUAUUCAGU